ensembl:misc_RNA Y_RNA Y RNA
GGCUGGUCUGAGUGCAGUGGUGUUUACAGCUAAUUGAUCACCACCAGUUAUAGAUCCCUUUGUUCCUUCUCCACUCCCACUGCUUCACUUGACUAGCCUUUA